UACGGAGGGGGCUAGCGUUGUUCGGAAUUACUGGGCGUAAAGCGCGCGCAGGCGGCUUUGCAAGUUGAGGGUGAAAUCCCGAGGCUUAACCUCGGAACUGCCUCCAAAACUGCAUGGCUCGAGUUCGGGAGAGGUGAGUGGAAUUCCCAGUGUAGAGGUGAAAUUCGUAGAGAUUGGGAAGAACACCAGUGGCGAAGGCGGCUCACUGGCCCGUAACUGACGCUGAGGCGCGAAAGCGUGGGGAGCAAACAGG
rnacentral:rRNA from 1 species